UACGGGGGGAGCAAGCGUUGUUCGGAUUUACUGGGCGUAAAGGGCGCGUAGGCGGUCAGCACAAGUCAGCUGUGAAAUCUCCGGGCUUAACUCGGAAAGGUCAACUGAUACUGUGCGACUAGAGUGCAGAAGGGGCAACUGGAAUUCUCGGUGUAGCGGUGAAAUGCGUAGAUAUCGAGAGGAACACCUGCGGCGAAGGCGGGUUGCUGGGCUGACACUGACGCUGAGGCGCGAAAGCCAGGGGAGCGAACGGG
rnacentral:rRNA from 1 species